rnacentral:misc_RNA from 1 species
UUUCCGUAGGUGAACCUGCGGAAGGAUCAUUACAGAGUUCAUGCCCUCACGGGUAGACCUCCCACCCUUGUGUAUCUAUACCAUGUUGCUUUGGCAGGCUGCUGGCCCCCUCGGGGGACAGCCUCAGCGCCCUCGGGCCUGAGAGUCGCCUGCCGGAGGAAAAACAAACUCUGAACUGUUAGUGUCGUCUGAGUACUAUAUUUUAAUAGUUAAAACUUUCAACAACGGAUCUCUUGGUUCUG